GUGCUCGCUUCGGCAGCACGUAUACUAAAACUGGAAUGAUACAGAGAUUAGCAUGCCCCUGCGCAAGGAUGACAUGCAAAUCUGUGAAGUGUUCCAGGUUUUU
rnacentral:snRNA from 1 species